CUGUGUUAUCCACGCCUCGUGUAUGUCAUCCCCUGCAACUCUCUUGAUAUCCAUGGAGGUGCCAUCUUUGUGGCAGGUUCUGAUCCCAGUGCUGAGGACAUAGAGGUAGGUGAACCACACCUGAAGCAUAAGGAAUAUCUACUAGGCAAAAAGACCUCUCUGUCACACAAGGAAGUCAUUCUCCCUCUGCAAUUGAGUGAGGGGCAGCCCCCGACUUCCUUGUCCGGGAGACAUGGUGCUCCCUACACAGUGCUGAGCAAAGUUGUUGUCACCCUGAAGUUCCUCAUCCUCAGUGAAGACCCAAUCCUACAUACACACAAACACAGGUACCUACCUUAGACAUACAAGCUGGUAAAAUACUGAUCUCUGCCCUAUAUGCUUCUUUUUUAAAAAUAGGGGA